GGAGUUUGGGCCGUGUCUCAGUCCCAAUGUGGCCGAUCACCCUCUCAGGUCGGCUACUGAUCGUCGCUUUGGUAGGCCGUUACCCUGCCAACUGGCUAAUCAGACGCGGGUCCAUCUUACAGUGAUAAAUCUUUUCACCCUGUACCAUGCGGUACUGUGUGCUUAUGCGGUAUUAGCAGAAAUUUCUCUCUGUUAUCCCCCUCUGUAAGGCAGGUUACCCACGCGUUACUCACCCGUCCGCCACUCGAUCUUCCUAAAAUCUGCCGAAGCUUCAAUUAAUGGAUCUCGUUCGACUUGCAUGUGUUAGGCACGCCGCCAGCGUUCAUCCCUG
rnacentral:rRNA from 1 species